CGUGUAGGCGGCCGGUUAAGUCAGGUGUGAAAGCCCAGGGCUCAACCCUGGAAGUGCACUUGAAACUGGUCGGCUUGAGUCCGGGAGAGGGAAGCGGAAUUCCGGGUGUAGAGGUGAAAUUCGUAGAUAUCCGGAGGAACACCGGUGGCGAAGGCGGCUUCCUGGACCGAGACUGACGCUGAGACGCGAAAGCGUGGGGAGCAAACA
rnacentral:rRNA from 1 species